rnacentral:lncRNA from 1 species
CUUUCUUCUUUGUGGCCCAAAUUGAAGAGGACACUGGAUUCCUCUGAUGGAGUUCUGCUCCCUAGAGCUGAUGCUGCAGAUGCUGCUCUCAGGGUCCUUGGGCUUGCCCCCAGCCAAUGGGAAAGAGAGGUCAAGACUGUGCUCAGCUUGGUGGACCUGAGACAUCGAGGAUCCUUCUGAAAGGAUGGCCUGAGGCUUGGAGCGUCAGAGGAAGUCUGGGGCCAACUCUGCCUCUCUGAGCUUCAGUUUUCUCUUCUCUGCAACAAGAGCAUUGGGCUGUAUAAUCCCUAGAAGGAGACCCUUCUGCUCAGUAAAAUGCAGACUUCUCAGCCUGAUCUUCCACAAUCUGACGUCAGCCUACCUCCUCAUCCUGCCUGGGCCUGGAGGCAUGCCAGCCAAUUCAGACCACUUGCCAUUUUUCUUUUUCUCCUCUGCAUCUGGAAUUGCUGUCAGUGAAACCUUCUCUUUCCCUCAAGGAGCACCUUGAAUGCUGGCCCCACAUCACCUUCCUGACCCUGUCAGCUCAAAGAGGUUUCUCUGCAUCUGAACUCCAUGUGUUCCAGUCUCUGGGUCCUUACCAUGCACUGCUGGGGCAUGCUGUGUGCUGGCCGCCGUCCCUCCUCAUGCUCAGAAGC